rnacentral:rRNA from 1 species
GAUGAACGCUAGCGAUAGGCUUAACACAUGCAAGUCGAGGGGCAGCAUGGUCUUAGCUUGCUAAGACUGAUGGCGACCGGCGCACGGGUGCGUAACGCGUAUGCAACUUGCCUCACAGAGGGGGAUAACCCGUCGAAAGACGGACUAAUACCGCGUACACUCCAUCUUGGGCAUCCAAGGUAGAGGAAAUGAAAUUCGCUGUGAGAUAGGCAUGCGUCCCAUUAGCUAGUUGGUGAGGUAACGGCUCACCAAGGCGACGAUGGGUAGGGGAACUGAGAGGGGGAACCCCCACACUGGUACUGAGACACGGACCAGACUACUACGGGAGGCAGCAGUGAGGAAUAUUGGUCAAUGGGCGAGAGCCUGAACCAGCCAAGUCGCGUGAAGGAUGACUGUCUUAUGGAUUGUAAACUUCUUUUAUACGGGAAUAACAAGAGUCACGUAUGACUCCCUGCAUGUACCGUAUGAAUAAGCAUCGGCUAACUCCGUG